AACGAACGCUGGCGGCAUGCCUAAUACAUGCAAGUCGAACGAGACCUUCGGGUCUAGUGGCGCACGGGUGCGUAACGCGUGGGAAUCUACCCUUGGGUUCGGAAUAACAGUUGGAAACGACUGCUAAUACCGGAUGAUGACGAAAGUCCAAAGAUUUAUCGCCCAGGGAUGAGCCCGCGUAGGAUUAGCUAGUUGGUGAGGUAAAGGCUCACCAAGGCUACGAUCCUUAGCUGGUCUGAGAGGAUGAUCAGCCACACUGGGACUGAGACACGGCCCAGACUCCUACGGGAGGCAGCAGUAGGGAAUAUUGGACAAUGGGGGCAACCCUGAUCCAGCAAUGCCGCGUGAGUGAUGAAGGCCUUAGGGUUGUAAAGCUCUUUUACCCGAGAUGAUAAUGACAGUAUCGGGAGAAUAAGCUCCGGCUAACUCCGUGCCAGCAGCCGCGGUAAUACGGAGGGAGCUAGCGUUGUUCGGAAUUACUGGGCGUAAAGCGCACGUAGGCGGCGAUUUAAGUCAGAGGUGAAAGCCCGGGGCUCAACCCCGGAACUGCCUUUGAGACUGGAUUGCUAGAAUCUUGGAGAGGCGGGUGGAAUUCCGAGUGUAGAGGUGAAAUUCGUAGAUAUUCGGAAGAACACCAGUGGCGAAGGCGGCCCGCUGGACAAGU
rnacentral:rRNA from 1 species